GGCGGCAUAGCCAAGUGGUAAGGCGAUGGAUUGCAAAUCCAUUAUUCCCCGGUUCGAGUCCGGGUGCCGCCUCCA
rnacentral:tRNA from 1 species